AUGGGCGAUGCAUGUCAAGAGAACGACAAUCCGAAAGAAAAAACUGCUGGGUAUAAGAUUUGGACAAUUGAGGAAAGUAAUGAGUUAUUGAAUCUCAUGGUUGAUGCCGCAAAACGUGGUUGGCGAGAUAGUAAUGGUUUAUUCAACGAAGGUUACCGUGGAGAAAAAGAUUCUUCCUGUUCUGAAUGAAAAGCUUGGUUGUCAAAGAACUCAUCCCCAAUAUGUUAGUCGUUUGAAGUGGUUUAAAGCUAGAUACACCAACUAUUCAAGAUUGAUGCUGUUUAAUUCUGGAUUUGGAUGGGAUCCUAUAACAAAAAAAUUUACUGCUCCAGAUGAAGUUUGGGAGGAGUAUUUUAAGGUACAUCCUACGCACAAAAGUUAUCGUACGGACACUUUUGGAGAUUAUGAUGAUUUAAGAAUUGCAGUGGGAAAUGGAACUGCUAUCGGAAAGAAUGCCAUCGGACUAGGAGAUGAUACUGAUGCAAGAACUUAUGACAAUGAAGCAAGUAAAAAACAUCAACCUUUGGAUGAUUUAGUUUAUGAUUAUAAUACUGAAGCUUAUACACCGGAUGAUUUUCAAGAUCCUUUGACCCAACCUUCUGAAUCUAUUAAUCUUGAUGCUCCUCCCCCUCCAACACUUAAAAAGCGCAACCGGUCUGAGUUCGAGGGAAAUUCUAGUUCUUCUGCCAAUGCUAGUCAGCUAGAUGCUAUAAUGCAAAUUAGUCACUCAGUUGAGAAGAUGGUUGAAGCUGUUAAGUCAUUUAAUAAUGAUGAUUGUAGCUGUUGGGAUCUUAUCAAAGAUUUGCCUGAUUUGGAUCAGCUUACACGUUUCAGGGCGCUUAAAUUACUUAACACUAGAGCAAAGAAGAUGGAGUUCAUGAAGAUGACCCCUGAUGAACGCUAUGCUUGGGUAAUUUUUGAAUUAGAUAUGUGACACUAGAAUUCUGAUGAAAAGCAGAAGGCUUGAUCAUAUCAUUGGUGACCGAGUUCUGAUGCUUCUAGUUUUCUUCCAUGCUUAUUCAAGUACUUUCAAUGUUAAAGUUUUGAGGCUACAAUAAAAUUCAAUGUUUGUUUUGUCGAGAUUUUAUAUUUGGAUCAGUUUUUAAAAUUGUGGUACUUGCUGGCUGCUGGACCUUUGCUUUUAUCA